rnacentral:rRNA from 1 species
CCUACGGGCGGCAGCAGUGGGGAAUAUUGGGCAAUGGGCGCAAGCCUGACCCAGCAACGCCGCGUGAAGGAAGAAGGCUUUCGGGUUGUAAACUUCUUUUCUCAGGGACGAAGCAAGUGACGGUACCUGAGGAAUAAGCCACGGCUAACUACGUGCCCGCAGCCGCGGGAAUACGUAGGCGGCACGCGUUAUCCGGAUUUACUGGGUGUAAAGGGCGUGUAGGCGGGAAGGCAAGUCAGAUGUGAAAACCACGGGCUCAGCCUGUGGCCUGCAUUUGAAACUGUAGUUCUUGAGUACUGGGGAGGCAGACGGAAUUCGUAGUGUAGCGGUGAAAUGCGUAGAUAUUAGGAGGAACACCAGUGGCGAAGGCGGUCUGCUGGACAGCAACUGACGCUGAGGCGCGAAAGCGUGGGGAGCAAACAGGAUUAGAUACCCCAGUAGUC